UACGUAGGUGGCAAGCGUUGUCCGGAUUUACUGGGCGUAAAGAGCGCGCAGGCGGUCGGAUAAGUCGAAUGUGAAAGCCCCCGGCUCAACUGGGGAGGGUCAUUCGAUACUGUUCGACUCGAAGGCAGGAGAGGGAAGUGGAAUUCCCGGUGUAGUGGUGAAAUGCGUAGAUAUCGGGAGGAACACCAGUGGCGAAGGCGACUUCCUGGCCUGUUCUUGACGCUGAGGCGCGAAAGCUAGGGGAGCAAACAGGGAUUAAGAAACCCUAG
rnacentral:rRNA from 1 species